rnacentral:rRNA from 1 species
CAGAUUCCUACGGGAGGCAGCAGUGGGGAAUAUUGGACAAUGGGGGGAACCCUGAUCCAGCCAUGCCGCGUGUGUGAAGAAGGCCUUUUGGUUGUAAAGCACUUUAAGCGAGGAGGAGGCUUACCUGGUUAAUACCCGGGAUAAGUGGACGUUACUCGCAGAAUAAGCACCGGCUAACUCUGUGCCAGCAGCCGCGGUAAUACAGAGGGUGCAAGCGUUAAUCGGAUUUACUGGGCGUAAAGCGCGCGUAGGUGGCUAAUUAAGUCAAAUGUGAAAUCCCCGAGCUUAACUUGGGAAUUGCAUUCGAUACUGGUUAGCUAGAGUAUGGGAGAGGAUGGUAGAAUUCCAGGUGUAGCGGUGAAAUGCGUAGAGAUCUGGAGGAAUACCGAUGGCGAAGGCAGCCAUCUGGCCUAAUACUGACACUGAGGUGCGAAAGCAUGGGGAGCAAACAGGAUUAGAUACCCUGGUAGUCCAUGCCGUAAACGAUGUCUACUAGCCGUUGGGGCCCUUGAGGCUUUAGUGGCGCAGCUAACGCGAUAAGUAGACCGCCUGGGGAGUACGGUCGCAAGACUAAAACUCAAAUGAAUUGACGGGGGCCCGCACAAGCGGUGGAGCAUGUGGUUUAAUUCGAUGCAACGCGAAGAACCUUACCUGGCCUUGACAUACAGAGAACUUUCCAGAGAUGGAUUGGUGCCUUCGGGAACUCUGAUACAGGUGCUGCAUGGCUGUCGUCAGCUCGUGUCGUGAGAUGUUGGGUUAAGUCCCGCAACGAGCGCAACCCUUUUCCUUAUUUGCCAGCACUUUGGGUGGGAACUUUAAGGAUACUGCCAGUGACAAACUGGAGGAAGGCGGGGACGACGUCAAGUCAUCAUGGCCCUUACGGCCAGGGCUACACACGUGCUACAAUGGUCGGUACAAAGGGUUGCUACUGCGCGAGCAGAUGCUAAUCUCAAAAAGCCGAUCGUAGUCCGGAUCGCAGUCUGCAACUCGACUGCGUGAAGUCGGAAUCGCUAGUAAUCGCGGAUCAGAAUGCCGCGGUGAAUACGUUCCCGGGCCUUGUACACACCGCC